rnacentral:rRNA from 1 species
AAUGAACGCUGGCGGCGUGCUUAACACAUGCAAGUCGAGCGGUAAGGCCCUUUCGGGGGUACACGAGCGGCGAACGGGUGAGUAACACGUGGGUGACCUGCCCUCAGCUCUGGGAUAAGCCUGGGAAACCGGGUCUAAUACCGGAUAUGACUCCAUGACGCAUGUUGUGGGGUGGAAAGCCUUGUGCGGCUGAGGAUGGGCCCGCGGCCUAUCAGCUUGUUGGUGGGGUGANGGCCUACCAAGGCGACGACGGGUAGCCGGCCUGAGAGGGCGACCGGCCACACUGGGACUGAGACACGGCCCAGACUCCUACGGGAGGCAGCAGUGGGGAAUCUUGCGCAAUGGGCGAAAGCCUGACGCAGCGACGCCGCGUGAGGGAUGACGGCC